ACCUGGGUGGCUCAAUCAGUUAAGCAUCUGACUUUGACUCAGGUCAUGAUCUCACAGUUCGUGGGUUCGAGCCCCACACUGGGCU
rnacentral:tRNA from 1 species